AUAUGAUUCUCAUCAUAUUAGAAUUAUAAUGUCAUUGUUGGCACCUUUGAAUGUGGAGCGGGCAGUGUGUGUCGCUGUCAUUGGUUGGAAAGAGGUGUAGACACGGGUUGUAUUCCAGUUACUGUAUAAUUGUUAUUGGCAUAUAUGACAAGAAUUGUAAUUAUUAUUGAGAUACAUAUAUUGUUUUCUUACUUAUUAACAAGUUUGGUAUUGGUUAGUAAUGUGUAUUUGUUUGUCAAGAGGAAGUUUUCUUUUAGGGUCUGUGUAUGUAACACGGAUAUAUAUUAUACCGCACUCAGGGUGUAGGGGUAAGGUAGGCAGAGGUACAGUUGGUGCCUGUCAGGGGUGAGUGGCGGUUGUUUGACUGAGCAUAGUUGGGGUAAUGCUGUAAUCAGACAUGUGGUGAAGUCUGCCUUGGCUGAUGAUGGGCGGUCAUUUUGCUGAAUCAAUCAAUAAAUCAAGAUACAGCAAGUCAGCCCAAUCAUAGUCAUUAUCCUACACUACAAU
rnacentral:lncRNA from 1 species